CAGCAGCCGCGGUAAUACGAAGGGUGCAAGCGUUAAUCGGAAUUACUGGGCGUAAAGCGUGCGUAGGCGGUGAGUUAAGUCUGCUGUGAAAUCCCCGGGCUCAACCUGGGAAUGGCAGUGGAUACUGGCUCGCUAGAGUGUGUCAGAGGAUGGUGGAAUUCCCGGUGUAGCGGUGAAAUGCGUAGAGAUCGGGAGGAACAUCAGUGGCGAAGGCGGCCAUCUGGGACAACACUGACGCUGAGGCACGAAAGCGUGGGGAGCGAACAGGAUUAGAGACCCGCGUAGUCCCUGUCUCUUAUAA
rnacentral:rRNA from 1 species